rnacentral:rRNA from 1 species
CGGGACACGUGGUAUCCUGUCUGAAUAUGGGGGGACCAUCCUCCAAGGCUAAAUACUCCUGACUGACCGAUAGUGAACCAGUACCGUGAGGGAAAGGCGAAAAGAACCCCGGCGAGGGGAGUGAAAAAGAACCUGAAACCGUGUACGUACAAGCAGUGGGAGCACGCUUAGGCGUGUGACUGCGUACCUUUUGUAUAAUGGGUCAGCGACUUAUAUUCUGUAGCAAGGUUAACCGAAUAGGGGAGCCGAAGGGAAACCGAGUCUUAACUGGGCGUUAAGUUGCAGGGUAUAGACCCGAAACCCGGUGAUCUAGCCAUGGGCAGGUUGAAGGUUGGGUAACACUAACUGGAGGACCGAACCGACUAAUGUUGAAAAAUUAGCGGAUGACUUGUGGCUGGGGGUGAAAGGCCAAUCAAACCGGGAGAUAGCUGGUUCUCCCCGAAAGCUAUUUAGGUAGCGCCUCGUGAAUUCAUCUCC